rnacentral:rRNA from 2 species
GGAUGCGAUCAUACCAGCACUAAAGCACCGGAUCCCAUCAGAACUGCGAAGUUAAGCGUGCUUGGGCGAGAGUAGUACUAGGAUGGGUGACCUCCUGGGAAGUCCUCGUGUUGCAUUCC